rnacentral:rRNA from 1 species
UACGGAGGGGGCUAGCGUUGUUCGGAAUUACUGGGCGUAAAGCGCACGUAGGCGGACUGUUAAGUCGGGGGUGAAAUCCUGGGGCUCAACCUCAGAAUUGCCUCCGAUACUGGCAGUCUCGAGUGCGGGAGAGGUGAGUGGAAUUCCCAGUGUAGAGGUGAAAUUCGUAGAUAUUAGGAAGAACACCGGUGGCGAAGGCGGCUUGCCCAGAACGCGCUCGGACGGUG